rnacentral:rRNA from 1 species
CCUACGGGUGGCAGCAGUGAGGAAUAUUGGUCAAUGGACGAGAGUCUGAACCAGCCAAGCAGCGUGCAGGAUGACUGCCCUAUGGGUUGUAAACUUCUUUUAUAUGGGAAUAAAACAGGGUAUGCAUACCCUCCUGUAUGUAUCAUAUGAAUAAGGAUCGGCUAACUCCGUGCCAGCAGCCGCGGUAAUACGGAGGAUCCGAGCGUUAUCCGGAUUUAUUGGGUUUAAAGGGUGCGUAGGUGGAUUGUUAAGUCAGUUGUGAAAGUUUGCGGCUCAACCGUAAAAUUGCAGUUGAUACUGGCAGUCUAGAGUGCAGUAGAGGUAGGCGGAAUUCGUGGUGUAGCGGUGAAAUGCUUAGAUAUCACGAAGAACUCCGAUUGCGAAGGCAGCUCACUGGACUGCAACUGACACUGAGGCACGAAAGUGUGGGUAUCAAACAGGAUUAGAUACCCGUGUAGUC